rnacentral:lncRNA from 1 species
UCAGUGAGCAGCAGAUCCCCGCUGAGAACUAAGCACUGUAGCGGGGAAGCCACCCCGGCUUUGUUUUCUGCCACUGCAGACUCAUCUGGAAGAAUCAGAGUGUUUUCUCCUUCUCAGCUAGGUGGCCUCCUUUGCGUUUCUGCCAUGGGCUUUCUCUUACCCAUGAGAGUCUCUUUCCUGCUUUGAGGUAGAGGAGACCAUGCCAGGACUGCCAUGUAGGCUGCCCUGAAGAAAACUGCAUGGACUUACUGAGGCUGCCACAUGUUUUACUUUCUAAGAAGAUGAGAUGAGCCCUCCAUGUUUCAAGGCUGAGAACAGGAAUGUGACCAGGACCUGGAGCCUCCAGGACAAAGCUUCCCUGAGGAGCCUGGGCCCUGGGCUUCAGGGCCUCUGCUCUCAGGCCUUGCCCAGAAGAAUGGAAGAUGCAGUGAGGGACCUGGAGGAGAGUGGACUGCUGUGUCUGGGCUUUGCAGCACACAGUGAAAAGCACAGGCUCUGGAAACGUUAA